rnacentral:rRNA from 1 species
UACGAAGGGUGCAAGCGUUACUCGGAAUUACUGGGCGUAAAGCGUGCGUAGGUGGUGAGUUAAGUCUGUCGUGAAAGCCCCGGGCUCAACCUGGGAAUGGCGAUGGAUACUGGCUCGCUAGAGUGCGGUAGAGGAGAGUGGAAUUCCACGUGUAGCAGUGAAAUGCGUAGAGAUGUGGAGGAACACCGAUGGCGAAGGCAGCCCCCUGGGCUAACACUGACGCUCAUGCACGAAAGCGUGGGGAGCAAACAGG